UGUACGUUGAUCAACGCCGUGACGAGAUCAUCCUGCGGGUGCGAUCUCCGCCUCUCGACGACGCGCGUGAAGUAUGCGCCGAACGCCUCCGCGGCAUCGCGGCCGGCUCGGAUCAUCUCGUCCGCCUCCUCCUCGUUGCGAGCGGGAUCAAGGGACCGGGCCGCCUGAGCGGUCCACCGCCGGAAGUCGGCCCGAUCCUCGACGGGAACGCCGAGGAGCUCGCAGAUGAUCGUGACCGGCAGCGGAUACGCGUAGUCCAAGAUCAGAUCCAUGUGGCCGCGUGCCUCGGCGGCAUCGAGCAGUUCGUUGGC
rnacentral:misc_RNA from 1 species